UCAGCGGCAUGUCGCGAGGUUAACCCGUGUGGGGUAGCCGUAGGGAAACCGAAUCCUAAUGGGGUGUUUUUAGUGGCAUGUCCUGGACCCGAAGCGGGGUGAUCUACCCAUGGCCAGUGUGAAGCAGCAGUAAGAUGCUGUGGAGGCGCGAACCCACGUAGGUUGAAAACUGCGGGGAUGAGUUGUGGGUAGGGGUGAAAGGCCAAUCAAACUCCGUGAUAGCUGGUUCUCCCCGAAAUGCAUUUAGGUGCAGCGUCGCAUUAGCUUGGUGGAGGUAGAGCUACUGGUUGGUUGAGCGGGACUACAAUCUUAGCAAUGUCAGCCAAACUCCGAAUGCCAUUAAUGUGUUGUGCGGCAGUGAGACUGUGGGGGAUAAGCUUCAUAGUCGAGAGGGAAACAGCCCAGAUCGCCGGUUAAGGCCCCUAAGGGUGUGCUAAGUGGAAAAGGAUGUGGGAUCGCGAAGACAGCCAGGAGGUUGGCUUAGAAGCAGCCAUCCUUGAAAGAGUGCGUAAUAGCUCACUGGUCGAGUGGUUCUGCGCCGACAAUGUAGUGGGGCUCAAGCACACCGCCGAAGCCGCGGCAUAUAUGCACUUUGUGUGUGUAUGGGUAGGGGAGCGUCGUGCAUGCGUUGAAGCGUUACCGUGAGGAGGCGUGGAGUGUGUGCGAGUGAGAAUGCAGGCAUGAGUAACGAAUUGAUAGGUGAGAAUCCUAUCCGCCGGAUGACUAAGGGUUCCUGGGUCAAGUUCGUCUUCCCAGGGUGAGUCG
rnacentral:rRNA from 1 species